rnacentral:rRNA from 1 species
CAGUAGCCACGGUAAUACGAAGGGUGCAAGCGUUAAUCGGAAUUACUGGGCGUAAAGCGUGCGUAGGCGGUGAGUUAAGUCUGCUGUGAAAUCCCCGGGCUUAACCUGGGAACUGCGCUUGUGACUGCACAGCUAGAGUAUGGCAGAGGGGGGUGGAAUCCCACGUGUAGCAGUGAAAUGCGUAGAGAUGUGGAGGAACACCGAUGGCGAAGGCAGCCCCCUGGGCCAAUACUGACGCUCAUGCACGAAAGCGUGGGGAGCAAACAGGAUUAGAUACCCCGGUAGUCCCUGUCUCUUAUAC